AUGGGGAAGUGGAAUUUUUACAC
rnacentral:piRNA from 1 species